rnacentral:rRNA from 1 species
GGCUGUGAACUCGAAGAGUAGGGCGGGACACGUGGUAUCCUGUCUGAAUAUGGGGGGACCAUCCUCCAAGGCUAAAUACUCCUGACUGACCGAUAGUGAACCAGUACCGUGAGGGAAAGGCGAAAAGAACCCCGGCGAGGGGAGUGAAAAAGAACCUGAAACCGUGUACGUACAAGCAGUGGGAGCACCUUCGUGGUGUGACUGCGUACCUUUUGUAUAAUGGGUCAGCGACUUAUAUUCUGUAGCAAGGUUAACCGUAUAGGGGAGCCGAAGGGAAACCGAGUCUUAACUGGGCGUUAAGUUGCAGGGUAUAGACCCGAAACCCGGUGAUCUAGCCAUGGGCAGGUUGAAGGUUGGGUAACACUAACUGGAGGACCGAACCGACUAAUGUUGAAAAAUUAGCGGAUGACCUGUGGCUGGGGGUGAAAGGCCAAUCAAACCGGGAGAUAGCUGGUUCUCCCCGAAAGCUAUUUAGGUAGCGCCUCGUGAACUCAUCUUCGGGGGUAGAGCACUGUUUCGGCUAGGGGGCCAUCCCGGCUUACCAACCCGAUGCAAACUACGAAUACCGAAGAAUGUUAUCACGGGAGACACACGGCGGGUGCUAACGUCCGUCGUGAAGAGGGAAACAACCCAGACCGCCAGCUAAGGUCCCAAAGUCAUGGUUAAGUGGGAAACGAUGUGGGAAGGCCCAGACAGCCAGGAUGUUGGCUUAGAAGCAGCCAUCAUUUAAAGAAAGCGUAAUAGCUCACUGGUCGAGUCGGCCUGCGCGGAAGAUGUAACGGGGCUAAACCAUGCACCGAAGCUGCGGCAGCGACGCUUAUGCGUUGUUGGGUAGGGGAGCGUUCUGUAAGCCGUUGAAGGUGGCCUGUGAGGGUUGCUGGAGGUAUCAGAAGUGCGAAUGCUGACAUAAGUAACGAUAAAGCGGGUGAAAAGCCCGCUCGCCGGAAGACCAAGGGUUCCUGUCCAACGUUAAUCGGGGCAGGGUGAGUCGACCCCUAAGGCGAGGCCGAAAGGCGUAGUCGAUGGGAAACAGGUUAAUAUUCCUGUACUUGGUGUUACUGCGAAGGGGGGACGGAGAAGGCUAUGUUAGCCGGGCGACGGUUGUCCCGGUUUAAGCAUGUAGGCGGAGGUUCCAGGUAAAUCCGGUACCUUUUAACGCUGAGGUGUGAUGACGAGGCACUACGGUGCUGAAGUAACAAAUGCCCUGCUUCCAGGAAAAGCCUCUAAGCAUCAGGUAACACGAAAUCGUACCCCAAACCGACACAGGUGGUCAGGUAGAGAAUACCAAGGCGCUUGAGAGAACUCGGGUGAAGGAACUAGGCAAAAUGGUGCCGUAACUUCGGGAGAAGGCACGCUGAUAUGUAGGUGAAGCCCCUGCGGGUGGAGCUGAAAUCAGUCGAAGAUACCAGCUGGCUGCAACUGUUUAUUAAAAACACAGCACUGUGCAAACACGAAAGUGGACGUAUACGGUGUGACGCCUGCCCGGUGCCGGAAGGUUAAUUGAUGGGGUUAGCGGCAACGCGAAGCUCUUGAUCGAAGCCCCGGUAAACGGCGGCCGUAACUAUAACGGUCCUAAGGUAGCGAAAUUCCUUGUCGGGUAAGUUCCGACCUGCACGAAUGGCGUAAUGAUGGCCAGGCUGUCUCCACCCGAGACUCAGUGAAAUUGAACUCGCUGUGAAGAUGCAGUGUACCCGCGGCAAGACGGAAAGACCCCGUGAACCUUUACUAUAGCUUGACACUGAACACUGGUCCUUGAUGUGUAGGAUAGGUGGGAGGCUUUGAAGCGUGGACGCCAGUCUGCGUGGAGCCAUCCUUGAAAUACCACCCUUUAAUGGCUGGUGUUCUAACGUAGACCCGUUACCCGGGUUGCGGACAGUGUCUGGUGGGUAGUUUGACUGGGGCGGUCUCCUCCCAAAGAGUAACGGAGGAGCACGAAGGUUAGCUAAUCCUGGUCGGACAUCAGGAGGUUAGUGCAAUGGCAUAAGCUAGCUUGACUGCGAGAGUGACGGCUCGAGCAGGUGCGAAAGCAGGUCAUAGUGAUCCGGUGGUUCUGAAUGGAAGGGCCAUCGCUCAACGGAUAAAAGGUACUCCGGGGAUAACAGGCUGAUACCGCCCAAGAGUUCAUAUCGACGGCGGUGUUUGGCACCUCGAUGUCGGCUCAUCACAUCCUGGGGCUGAAGUAGGUCCCAAGGGUAUGGCUGUUCGCCAUUUAAAGUGGUACGCGAGCUGGGUUUAGAACGUCGUGAGACAGUUCGGUCCCUAUCUGCCGUGGGCGCUGGAGAAUUGAGGGGGGCUGCUCCUAGUACGAGAGGACCGGAGUGGACGCAUCACUGGUGUUCGGGUUGUCAUGCCAAUGGCACUGCCCGGUAGCUAAAUGCGGAAGAGAUAAGUGCUGAAAGCAUCUAAGCACGAAACUUGCCCCGAGAUGAGUUCU